GGUAUAGCUCAGUUGGUUAGAGCGCUGGAUUGUGGUUCCAGAGGUCGCCGGUUCAAUUCCGGUUAUU
rnacentral:tRNA from 1 species